rnacentral:antisense_RNA from 1 species
CUUCACCGACCCCAGCAGCAGGGGCCGAUCGGGCGGCCGCUCCUGACCGUAGGUGGCCAGCAGCGCCUGCACCUC